UGAUAGUACCUUUACUACUAGGUCAUAACCGUGGUAAUUCUAGAGCUAAUACUUGCUAACAAUCCCGACUUCUGGAAGGGAUGUAUUUAUUAGAUAAAAAAUCAAUGCCUUCGGGCUCUUUGAUGAUUCAUAAUAACUUUUCGAAUCGCAUGGCUUUUUGCCGGCGAUGGUUCAUUCAAAUUUCUGCCCUAUCAACUUUCGAUGGUAGGAUAGUGGCCUACCAUGGUUUCAACGGGUAACGGGGAAUAAGGGUUCGAUUCCGGAGAGGGAGCCUGAGAAACGGCUACCACAUCCAAGGAAGGCAGCAGGCGCGCAAAUUACCCAAUCCUAAUUCAGGGAGGUAGUGACAAUAAAUAACGAUACAGGGCCCAUACGGGUCUUGUAAUUGGAAUGAGUACAAUUUAAAUACCUUAACGAGGAACAAUUGGAGGGCAAGUCUGGUGCCAGCAGCCGCGGUAAUUCCAGCUCCAAUAGCGUAUAUUAAAGUUGUUGCAGUUAAAAAGCUCGUAGUUGAACCUUGGGCUUGGUUGGCCGGUCCGCCUUACGGUGAGUACUGGACCCAACCGAGCCUUUCCUUCUGGGAAACCUUCUGCCCUUUUUGGGUGGUUGGGGAACCAGGACUUUUACUUUGAAAAAAUUAGAGUGUUCAAAGCAGGCCUUU
rnacentral:rRNA from 1 species